rnacentral:rRNA from 1 species
CAGAGAGAAACGAAGUAGUGAUGCAGAGUAAAACUCAAAAAACGGUACUCAGUUCGGAUUGAAGGCUGAAAUUCGCCUUCAUGAAGCUGGAAUUGCUAGUAAUGGCAGGUCAGCAUACUGCCGUGAAUACGUUCCCGGGCCUUGUACACACCGCCCGUCACACCAUGAGAGUCGGGAACACCCGAAGUCCGUAGCCUAACCGCAAGGGGGGCGCGGCCGAAGGUGGGUUCGAUAAUUGGGGUGAAGUCGUAACAAGGUACC